rnacentral:rRNA from 1 species
AACGCUGGCAGCGUGCCUAACACAUGCAAGUCGAACGGAGAUAUUAAUGAAGCUUGCGAUUUAAUAUCUUAGUGGCGGACGGGUGAGUAACGCGUGGGUAAUCUGCCCAUAAGUGGGGAACAACAGUUGGAAACGACUGCUAAUACCGCAUACGCUGUCGCAAGACAGGAAAGGUGGCCUCUGAAUAUGCUGCCGCUUAUGGAUGAGCCCGCGUCUGAUUAGCUAGUUGGUGGGGUAAAGGCCUACCAAGGCGACGAUCAGUAGCCGGCCUGAGAGGGUGAACGGCCACACUGGGACUGAGACACGGCCCAGACUCCUACGGGAGGCAGCAGUGGGGAAUAUUGCGCAAUGGGGGAAACCCUGACGCAGCGACGCCGCGUGAGCGAUGAAGGCCUUAGGGUUGUAAAGCUCUGUUUUAAGGGACGAAUGUUACGGGGAGUAAUAUGCCCUGUAAAUGACGGUACCUUAAGAGGAAGCCCCGGCUAACUACGUGCCAGCAGCCGCGGUAAGACGUAGGGGG